GACGAACGCUGGCGGCGCGCUUAACACAUGCAAGUCGAGCGAGAUCCAGGCCUUCGGGCCUGGGGACAGCGGCGAACGGGUGAGUAACACGUGGGUAAUCAACCCUCGACACUGGGACAGCCCGGGGAAACCCGGAUUAAUACCGGAUGGCCCUUUGCAUCUUCGGACCUGACGGGAAAGGUAGCGUCGGCCUCCGGUCGAGGACGAGCCCGCGGCGUAUUAGCUUGUUGGUGAGGUAACGACUCACCAAGGCGACGAUGGGUAGCUGGUCUGAGAGGACGAUCAGCCACACUGGGACUGAGACACGGCCCAGACUCCUACGGGAGGCAGCAGUGGGGAAUCUUGCGCAAUGCGCGAAAGCGUGACGCAGCAACGCCGCGUGGGGGAAGAAGGCCUUCGGGUUGUAAACCCCUUUCAGGAGGGACGAAGCCAUGGCGGUUAAUAGCCGUUCAUGGUGACGGUACCUUCAGAAGAAGCCCCGGCUAACUACGUGCCAGCCGCCGCAGUAACAC
rnacentral:rRNA from 1 species